AUACCAUAAUGAGGGCAUUUCCUUAACAACUCUUUGAAUCUGUCCCAUGCAUCAUACAUCGAUUCCCCUUCCAUCUGAUAGAAAUUAUUAAUUUCACCUCUCAACUU